AGUGUUUCUGUGCCGGUGGCCACGACACAGCUGACCCGCUGCAGUUGUGUUGUUGUCACUGCGAGCCAGGUUUGCGGUGCAGCUCUCAAUAGCGUUUGCCUGAGUAGUUUAUCAAACAUAAGCUCGAACUGAGGCUGCCAACAAACGGAAACGUGUUCAGGAAAAAUAUUUUAAAAUACUGUGGGAACAAAGCAGCUACUCUAUCGCUGAGGAUCGAUCAUUUCAAAAAGGGAAGCAGAAAGCGUCCUUCGGCCCACCGUUUACUAACAGUGUUUGUUCAGUCAGCAGAGGAACAUGGCUUCAUCCUUUCUGGGCUUUUCCCUCCUCUUCCUCAGCCUGAACGCAGCAGAUGGAUUUAAAUAUUAUAUGGUUGGCCGCUGUGACUUCAACUCCUCUGAGCUGAAGGACAUCGAGUUCAUUUACUCUUAUUAUUACAACAAGGAUGAGAUCAUCAGGUUCAGCAGCUCAGUGGAUAAAUUUGUGGGCUACAAUGACAUUGGUGUGAAGAUCGCAGAGAGAUGGAACAACGACCCUGUACAGAUGGUGAGGAUGAGAACAGCGAAGGAGAGCUACUGCAAACACUAUAUUGAGAUCUGGUACCCACACAUGCUGGCUAGGAAAGUGCCCCCCUCUGAUGUCAGGCUGCGCUUGGUGACGCCCCCUGGUGGGAAACACACCCACAUGCUGAUGUGCAGCGUCUACGGCUUCUACCCCAAACUCAUCAGUGUGAAGUGGCUGAGAGACGGAAAGGUCACAACCUCUGAUGUCACUUCCACUGAGGAGCUGGCGGACGGUGAUUGGUACUACCAGAUCCACUCCUACCUGGAGUUCACGCCCAGGUCUGGAGAGAAGAUCUCCUGCAUGGUGGAGCACAUCAGCCUGAGCGACCCACUGAUCAGAGACUGGGAUCCGUCUCUUCCUGAGUCUGAGAGAAACAAGAUCGCCAUCGGAGCUUCAGUUCUGAUUCUGGGUCUGAUCUUAUCUCUGGCUGGAUUCAUCUACUACAAGAGGAAGAUGCAAGGACGGAUUCCGGUUCCCACAAACUGAGGCAGGAAUCCUGAAGCUUCAUCCUGCUGAGGGAAAAGGCAGCUGGGAGUUGCUCUGCUGUGUUUUCAGUGCUGCCCCCUGCUGGAGAGGAGGACAUCCAGGAUGGAGCUCAGCUUCCUGCUCACAGCCUCAGCAGCAGCUGUUUGAAACCUUUAGUGCCUUAACACAUUCUCAUAUUUCUGUCUUUUCUGGAAUCAUAAUGCUCUGGGAAACGCUCUGUCACUCUGGUUUUCUGUCUCAGGAAAAGUGAAAAAAUGGACAUAUGUGUCAUGAAAAGCUUUUAAAACUCAGAAAGUCUCAUGAAUAUCAAACCUGGGUUACACAGCUUUAAUAAAUGGUGUAAUAAUUACUGCUUGAUGCUUAUUGG